rnacentral:rRNA from 1 species
GGUUAAGCGACUAAGCGUACACGGUGGAUGCCCUGGCAGUCAGAGGCGAUGAAGGACGUGCUAAUCUGCGAUAAGCGUCGGUAAGGUGAUAUGAACCGUUAUAACCGGCGAUUUCCGAAUGGGGAAACCCAGUGUGAUUCGUCACACUAUCAUUACGUGAAUCCAUAGCGUAAUGAAGCGAACCGGGGGAACUGAAACAUCUAAGUACCCCGAGGAAAAGAAAUCAACCGAGAUUCCCCCAGUAGCGGCGAGCGAACGGGGAGCAGCCCAGAGUCUGAAUCAGCUUGUGUGUUAGUGGAACGGUCUGGAAAGUCCGACGGUACAGGGUGAUAGUCCCGUACACCAAAAUGCACAGGUUGUGAACUCGAAGAGUAGGGCGGGACACGUGGUAUCCUGUCUGAAUAUGGGGGGACCAUCCUCCAAGGCUAAAUACUCCUGACUGACCGAUAGUGAACCAGUACCGUGAGGGAAAGGCGAAAAGAACCCC